UCUAUCACCAAUCAUCCAUCUGGGUCCCUGCCAAGCCUCUGAGUCUCUGGCCAGAUAUUUUCCAUUGCCCAUGAAUUACUGUUGAGCUUCACUCCAGCCCAUCCAUUCUUCCAGAUGUCAUCAAGAUGCCAAGAAUUGCUGGCAACCACCAGAAGCUGAGAGAGGCAAGAAGACUCCUCCCUGGACCCUUCAGAGGGAGCAUAGCCUGCCAACACUUUCAACUCCUGUCUUCCAGAACUGCCAGAAAGUCUGUUUCUGCCAUUUAAAACUACCAGACUCCCUCACCAACUGGGUUCUGGCUGAGUUUCACCAAUGAGAAUCAAUGACAGGAGAGGAGAGGAGACGAGAAAGAAGCCACUAAGCUUCUGCCACAACUGCAGCAGGCUACUGUGGCUUUUAGCAGCGCUGGUGGCUUCAUGGGGACCACAGAGCAGCUUGCGUUUGGCAGCUUUCCAGCAGCAGCAGGGAGUGUGUGCUGUGGGCUCUCUCCAAGGGGCAGUGGCAGCUUCCUGACCUAUUGGCAUCACCCUUUCCUCCUGUUCACUGUGGCAGCUCUUCUUCCACAUGUGUAGCCCAUGUUUCCAAUAGUUCC
rnacentral:lncRNA from 1 species